rnacentral:lncRNA from 1 species
GUGGUCUUGUCUUAGAGCUAUUCCUACCUUGGAUUUUGGGGGGUUUUCUUUUUUAAGAUGGCCUUAUUCUCUUCUCCUCUUCAUAUGCCUGGUGCCAUAAGAUCUGGAGCUACCCCUCCUAGAAGGACCCUGCCUUUGGGAGCAUUCAAGGACCAGGCCAGUGCCCUGUGUAGGAGAUGCAUCAAGUGUGUAGCUGGGACCAGAUCUGCUUCAGUCCCUCAGAAGAAAGGUUCUGAGUGCUACUACUCAGAUGGCCAAGACCAUGGUGUGUGCCUUAGGGAAAGGGGACAGUGACACCCUUCCCCUGGCUCCAAACAAGGCCUACAGCUUGUGAAAGGGCUCUGCUCAAGUCCCUGCACCAAUGCAACCUGCCAAGGGAAAGCGCUCACCAUGGUUCUGUCUUGACCUGCCAGUUUAGAUACCCAUCUAAAGUCACUGUCGCUUACAGUUGUGGCAAUUCUGAAUGUCGACAGGAGAAUGUCUCCCGGAUUUCAGCCUUUUAGAAGAUAAAAUGGUCCUAUGUGUUCAUGAACAAAACCCACCAGUUUCCCCAGGGCAGUGAGUUACCUGACAUCUGGCAGAUUCCUGGAAGGUUUCCUCUGGCCCCAUACUGGGAUCCAUUCCUGGGACAACUAGAAGUGCCAGGGAGUUAAAGCCCCAAGAGCGACCUUCAAGCCAAUAAGAGAUGGAGUUGGAAUGAAAACCUCAGCUUCCUCAUACCUCAGUGGGACAAUCCUGAGAUGUGUUCCUCAAGUCUCUCCAAGGACCUGAUGGGACUGAGUCCUGGUUGCUCAUGAGAGAAACCAGCAGGACUGGAUGUCAGUGAUUGCACCAUGCAGGAUUACAGAUUGUGCUGAGUUUAGAUUUUCUGCCUUCCUCCUCAGUUGUCAGGCUGCUAGCCAGCUCUUCUGCUCCCAUGACACCUGCAUCGAAUGCCUGCCCUUUCCUUACUACAAGACCCUUUCCAGUUCCCAGAUUAGAAUCUGCCACAGGCUAGGAAUCCCACAUCCCAGUAGUGAUUUGGCUCCAAGUGCAAAGGCACCUAGUGUCUGCCUUUUGUUCAGCAGCUUGGUGAUGGACAUAUCCAGGACUCAGAGACCCCUUUCCCUCAGCUCUCUGAGUUGGAAGCUGUCAGGUGCAGAAGGGCAACAUCUUACAUACACAGGGUUUGGGCAGGUCUGGGCAGUGCCUGGUUAAUGUUAAAUAAUGCAGAUAAAGGAAUUGUUGACAUCUGAAAGUCAAUAUGAAAAUUGUAUGCACUGCUGUGACUCAUGCAACUUCACUCCCAGCCCUGGUUCUCAUGAUUCCAGAAGUGGAAAAAAUAAGGCAACUCUUUUCCUCACAAUUCAAAAAAAUACCUAUUGAGCAACAUCAGCUUGGCCCACACAAGACAAUUUUUAUCCCUUCCGUUAGUUAACUUUGCUUUGGCCAAAGGCCAGAAAAACCUCAUUCUUUACAGGCAACCUCAGACCACCAUCCUGGAUCCACUUCAAAAACUAACUGCAGACCUGUGUCUUA